AGUGAACGCUGGCGGUAGGCCUAACACAUGCAAGUCGAACGGCGGCACAGUAAGAGCUUGCUCUUACGGGUGGCGAGUGGCGGACGGGUGAGGAAUACAUCGGAAUCUACUUUUUCGUGGGGGAUAACGUAGGGAAACUUACGCUAAUACCGCAUACGACCUACGGGUGAAAGCAGGGGAUCUUCGGACCUUGCGCGAUUGAAUGAGCCGAUGUCGGAUUAGCUAGUUGGCGGGGUAAAGGCCCACCAAGGCGACGAUCCGUAGCUGGUCUGAGAGGAUGAUCAGCCACACUGGAACUGAGACACGGUCCAGACUCCUACGGGAGGCAGCAGUGGGGAAUAUUGGACAAUGGGCGCAAGCCUGAUCCAGCCAUACCGCGUGGGUGAAUAAGGCCUUCGGGUUGUAAAGCCCUUUUGUUGGGAAAGAAAAGCAGCAGGUUAAUACCCCGCUGUUCUGACGGUACCCAAAGAAUAAGCACCGGCUAACUUCGUG
rnacentral:rRNA from 1 species